rnacentral:tRNA from 1 species
CAAGGAAUAGUGUAUAAGCACAUGUGAUUGUCGUUCACAAAGCUAAGCCAUGAAAGACACCUUCCAGUACCUUUACCUUGU